UCUUAGCCUAGAAAUUGCAGGGUUGUUGAGCUGAUCAAGUUACAGUGUGGUAAGUCAGCCCCUGACACUUGUCCAAGUGCUUCCUUUUAAGCUGAGGAACAUGUAAACUAAUACGAGUCAGUGCAGUCUGUGAUGAGAAGGUUAAGUUGCGUUAGUUUAUUGUCUGUGUUUAACAGCAUGUACUAGCUUGCUCCUGGCUUAUCCGUCAUGUAACACUUAACUAAUUUGCUAAGUAAUGUGUCUGCAUGUCCAAACUUUUAAAAGUUUUUAUGAAAACAGCAUUUCAUGCGAUUUGAAUAAUUUUCCUUAUUAUGUUUUGUUCACUGCCAAUAGAUAUGAUGAGAAGGAGGAGAUUCACACCUUUUGCCUGUUUAUGAGAAAAAGAUAGCACAAACAUCUCAGAAAAGUGAAGAAAAGCGUGCCACCAAGAAAUGUCAUCAACAGCCACCACCAUGACCACAAGUAAAUGUCUGAUCGGCUUGGAUUUUCUUUCUACCUACCCACCACUGUUCCUCCGAGUGGACUUUAUUUCCUUAUUUUCUUACUCUGAUGUACUAGAAUUAAGAAAGGACAUUUAAAAACAUUUUCAUGUAGAUCAUCAGUUGGUUUUGGUGUUUAAAUCACUGGCUAGCACAUAUCACUGGCAGUCCUUGUCCAACUAACAAGUGGUGUACGUUUAGACAUAACCUAACCUGUAGAAAUAAAUCAGCCCAGGUUCAUCACGAGCCUUUCAACCUUAA